rnacentral:tRNA from 1 species
GGGGUUGUGGCUCAGUGGCAGAGCACUUGCCUAGCAAGUAUGAGGCACUGUUUCAAUUCUCAGCACCA